rnacentral:misc_RNA from 1 species
GAUGAAGAACGUAGCGAAAUGCGAUAAGUAAUGCGAAUUGCAGAAUUUCCGUGAGUCAUCGAAUCUUUGAACGCACAUUGCGCCCACUGGUAUUCCGGUGGGCAUGCCUGUUCGAGCGUCAUUAUCCUCCCUCAAACCCCGGGUUUGGUGUUGGACCCAAGUUGUGUGUACAACUGGUCUUAAAGACAAUGACGGCGUCCGUGGGACCCUCGGUGCAACGAGCUUUUAGGAGCACGCAUCGAGUUGCAAGGACCUUCCGGGCCGGUCUCCUUUACUAUUUUACAAGGUUGACCUCGGAUCAGGUAGGAAUACCCGCUGAACUUAAGCAUAUCAAUAACGGAGGA